GACGAGGUGGCCGAGUGGUUAAGGCGAUGGACUGCUAAUCCAUUGUGCUCUGCACGCGCUGGGGUUCGAAUCCAAUCUUCGUCG
rnacentral:tRNA from 1 species